UGUGUAUUAGUUCUCUGUAGACGCUGCUCAACAGUUGAAGAAUUGCACACUACGUUAAUGUUGGCCUCAAACGCUGCAUUGCACAUGAGGUUGUUGUUUUGUAGUAUUUUGCCAAUUGGGGUUUUUAAGGGGGAAUAGUUCUCUUUAGCCAUCAUAUCACUAUGUUUUGCAAGAUGAAUGGCUUAAUCUAUAUUGAGGUGCGUCUGCGGAAUUGAUAAUUUUCAGUUGAAUAUUCCUAAGUGUAUUCCUCUGAGGGUAUUUCUUCAGGUUCCCUAGGUGAUUCUGUCGUUUUAUGCUAAAUAACAGAUAAGAUUGCCAAAUACAGGUUUCUCGUGCAGACCAUGAACCCAAGACUCCUGUACUCUUCUUGGAGUAGAUAAAUUCAGGGUUUCCGUAUCUCCCGAGUUAAAUUGAUGUCUAAGUAAGCAUUUUGUUGUUUGAUUCACUAUCUGAGAUUGUUAAGACAUCAUAUAUUUGUACUGUUCUGUGAGGUUGUUCCUUGGAAUAAACAACUAUUUCACCGUGUGAAGAAGUUUGUCUGUAAAUGCUGGUUUCUUGUUAGUUUGAACCGAUAAUUGAACUUCAAGAAUGGAUGUUCCUGUGAAGAAACCUCAGGUUAAUGGGCCGAAAACCUUAAUCAGUGAUGACAUUUUGGCUAAGAGGCUAAAAAAUCGGGAGCGUCAACGCAGAUAUAGAGAAAGGAAACGUCUUAAAGCUGAUAAUAUGAAGGUGUUGGGCACAAACCAACUAGUUUCAUUGCCAGUGGGGGUGCCCAUGAUUGUUUCUCCCCGGGAUAGUACACUGCUGGUGAAUGUCGUUCCUCUGGACUCUUCGGUUCCAGUAGAAGUUGCUCCGCUGGACUCUUCAAUGCCAGUGAAUGUUGCUCCCCGGGCAUAUGUAAAGCCAGUGGAUGUUUCUUCCCGAGAGUCUGUCACCCGUGUUUACUCCGGGCGAAAUUGGAAAAGGGAUGCCCGAAAGGCCCAUGUUGCCAGGCAGAAUGAAGUUAGUACUAAUAAUAUGGUUUCAUCAGAUUUAGCUUCAACUGGUGGAGGUCAAGCAACAUUAUUACCCCACGUUGAACAGUCAGAUGUCGCAAUGAGUAAUGUUAUUUCUUCACCUGUGACUGCAUCGGAAAAUAACGGAACACCCAAAUCUAUUCCCAGCAGAAGAAAUUGGAAAGCAGAAGCUAGAAAUAAGAAGAGCUGAAAUUGUUGACAAUAAGUUAAGGUCAAGUAUGUCACAGAACAUUAUCAAUUGUUAGCAGCCUUGUUGCAAUAUCAUUAUGCACAACAUUGGAAGGACGGAUGAACUUCGGAUGAUAUUAUAUCGGAUGCCCGACUUACACGGCUCUUAAUUUUUUGCUUCUGUUCAAACAAGUGAGAAGAUCCUGACCAUUGCUAAUGUCCAGGUUUUGUCAGGUAUGAAAUUUAGGUUUUAGAGUAACUUUAGGAUACUCUUUUUCUGCUAGAACUUUAGUCGUUGGGACUUACUUUCUUCCAACGAAACGAAUCUUCAUAUGUUUCACGAGACUCUUGACCAUGUGUUUCUGUACAUAUCUGUUGUAUGUGGAUAACUCCACUUGUGGGAUUACACUGGAUAUGUUGUUUUUUGUAUCUGUUGUAUGUGGAUCGAUCAUUCCUAGUC